UUCUGAGGGGAUGAAGGCAGAUGAGGAGGGGAGGAAGACCCAGCAACAGCAGGUUUGUGCAUGAGGACUGAGCCCAUGGAAGCCUGACGGUACUGGAAUCAUCUGGGCUGGAGUUAUAGUAGGCUGUGAACCAUCAUAUACAGGCGCAGAGAACUGAAUUUGGGCACCCUGCAAAGAGCAUCAAGUGCUUUUAACCACCAAGCCAUCUCCAGUCCCACAGUCUCCUAUGUGGUACAGGCUGGCCUAA
rnacentral:lncRNA from 1 species